rnacentral:rRNA from 1 species
GACAGAGGAUGCAAGCGUUAUCCGGAAUGAUUGGGCGUAAAGCGUCUGUAGGUGGCUUUUAAGUCCGCCGUCAAUCCAGGCGUCAACCCUGGACAGGCGGUGGAAACUACCAAGCUGGAGUACGGUAGGGGCAGAGGGAAUUUCCGGUGGAGCGGUGAAAUGCGUAGAUAUCAUUUGGAACGCCAAUGGUGAAAACAACUCGCUGGGGAAGUGCUGACGCUGAGACGCGAAAGCCAGGGGAGCGAACGGG